AAACGUCGACAAGCCGAGAAAACCAAAGAUCCGACAAGUUUGGAUCCGGAAAGGUGAUAUCUUUCCUUGCUUCUCGUCUUAGCUAUUUCUGAUUUCUUGUGUAGUGCUUUGAUAGGUGCUUAUUGCAUAUUUUUAUUCAUUGCAUUACAUGUUUACAUGAUUUUUGGUGCUUUGAAUUUUGUUUGAUUAAAAAUCAUUUUGAGGAAAGGUAUUUGGGGAUUCAAAUUUUUGAGAAAGGAGAUGAUUGAGAAUCAUUAUUUUGAGAAGAGAAAGUUUUUAAAGAUUGUUUAAACGGGUUUUAUCUUCACAAUCAUAUUAAGUUAAAUUCAUAUUAAUUAUCGUCUUUACUCCACUAUUUAUUAUUUUGACGAUAAUUUAUUAUAUGAUUUCUUAUUGCAUAAAUUCAUCAAAAUUUUGAAAUCAAAUUUGAUUUUUUGGUGAUUAAUUCAUCUUGGUUGUGAGUGUUGGAUAUGAUGAAUGGAUAUUCUCUAAUUGACUAAAAUUCGUCAAAAUUAUUUUCAAUUGUGAGAUUGCCUAAUUUAGGGGGAGUUUGAAAUUUUUUUUUUUAAAAAAAAAAGGAGAAAAAGAAACUCCUAUAUUUAAAAGAUGUGGAAAGAGUUACAUCCUAAAAGGAGUGUGAAAACUACCACCACAUGUAGGAAAGAGCUACCACCCCGGUCGUCCGGCAAGUGUGUGAAGCUACCACAUGAAGAUUAAAUUGGAUAAGCCGAAGAAGGUUGAAAAAAUAUAAAUAUUUUAGAAUUUUCGGAGUAAUAAGGUGCUAGUUUGAAAAAGAUGCUCAAAGAGCCACCCCCGGUGCCAUAUUAGUUAAAUCUCUAUUUUGAACGUGUUACGACAAAUUAGUGUCAAUUUUUGUUGAAUUUCUAAAAAUCAUUUUUCAUCAACUUACAUCUUGAUGGUUUUGAAUCGUUAAAUUAUUUUUGAUUUUGAAAUUUUGACGUUUUGAUGUGUUUUGAAAUUUUAUAAUAUUUUAUUUUCAUUAUAAUGAUUUUUGGAGUAAAAGCCUUAACUAUGUGAAUUUAAUUUAAAUGUGAUGGAUUUUUAAAGUAUAUUUUUCGAAAAAAAUUUUUCACAUUUUGGUCCUUGUACCGGAACAAGAACCCGUGUACCGGUACAAGGUCUGCGGCCGAGCGGAAUAUAACCGGGUAUAACGCUUCGAUCUUUCUCAAAACUCAAUCGUUUUUCAAAAUUUUUGGUUCUGUGAGCUCCAGAGACUCUCCUUCAUUCGUUCUACACAUUUUUUCUGUGGAUUUGUAAGUUUUUAGCAUCAAAUUUGUGAGUUUUAUCCCGAUUUUGCUAUUUUCACUGUUUUUGCGGGAUAAGGGUUUGAUCUCUAUUCUAAUCCGUUUUUGAUGCAAUUUUUUGCUAUAGAUCAGUGUCUUAGGCUAUUA
rnacentral:lncRNA from 1 species